UACGUAGGGGGCGAGCGUUGUCCGGAAUUACUGGGCGUAAAGCGCACGUAGGUGGUACGUCAAGUUCGGCGUGAAAUCUCCAGGCUCAACUUGGAGGGGUCGUCGAAGACUGGCGAACUAGGGUCUGGCAGAGGCAGGUAGAAUUCCCGGUGGAGCGGUGAAAUGCGUAGAGAUCCGGAGGAACACCGACGGCGCAGGCAGCGUCCUGGCCGCUUGCUGACACUGAGGCACGAAAGCUGGGGGAGCAAACAGG
rnacentral:rRNA from 1 species